rnacentral:tRNA from 1 species
GGGGCUGUGGUUCAGUGGGAGAGCGCUUGCCUCACACAUGUAAGGGCCUGAGUUCGAUCCUCAGCACCACA